rnacentral:rRNA from 1 species
CGCCUGAGGAUGAGCUCGCGUCUGAUUAGCUAGUUGGUGAGGUAAUGGCUCACCAAGGCUUCGAUCAGUAGCUGGUCUGAGAGGAUGAUCAGCCACACUGGGACUGAGACACGGCCCAGACUCCUACGGGAGGCAGCAGUGGGGAAUUUUCCGCAAUGGGCGAAAGCCUGACGGAGCAACGCCGCGUGAGGGACGAAGGCCUCUGGGCUGUAAACCUCUUUUCUCAAGGAAGAAGAUAUGACGGUACUUGAGGAAUAAGCCACGGCUAAUUCCGUGCCAGCAGCCGCGGUAAUACGGGAGUGGCAAGCGUUAUCCGGAAUUAUUGGGCGUAAAGCGUCCGCAGGCGGCUUUUCAAGUCUGCUGUUAAAACGUGGAGCUUAACUCCAUCAUGGCAGUGGAAACUGAAAGGCUUGAGUAUGGUAGGGGCAGAGGGAAUUCCCGGUGUAGCGGUGAAAUGCGUAGAUAUCGGGAAGAACACCAGUGGCGAAGGCGCUCUGCUGGGCCAUUACUGACGCUCAUGGACGAAAGCCAGGGGAGCGAAAGGGAUUAGAUACCCCUGUAGUCCUGGCCGUAAACGAUGAACACUAGGUGUCGGGGGAAUCGACCCCUUCGGUGUCGUAGCUAACGCGUUAAGUGUUCCGCCUGGGGAGUACGCACGCAAGUGUGAAACUCAAAGGAAUUGACGGGGGCCCGCACAAGCGGUGGAGUAUGUGGUUUAAUUCGAUGCAACGCGAAGAACCUUACCAGGGUUUGACAUCCUGCGAACCUCUUAGAAAUUUGAGGGUGCCUUCGGGAAUGCAGUGACAGGUGGUGCAUGGCUGUCGUCAGCUCGUGUCGUGAGAUGUUGGGUUAAGUCCCGCAACGAGCGCAACCCACGUUUUUAGUUGCCAGCAUUUAGUUGGGCACUCUAGAAAGACCGCCGGUGAUAAACCGGAGGAAGGUGUGGAUGACGUCAAGUCAUCAUGCCCCUUACACCCUGGGCUACACACGUACUACAAUGCUACGGACAAAGGGCAGCAAACUCGCGAGAGCUAGCAAAUCCCAUAAACCGUGGCUCAGUUCAGAUCGUAGGCUGCAACUCGCCUACGUGAAGUAGGAAUCGCUAGUAAUCGCAGGUCAGCAUACUGCGGUGAAUACGUUCCCGGGCCUUGUACACACCGCCCGUCACACCAUGGAAGUUGGCCAUGCCCGAAGUCGUUACUCCAACCCUUGUGGAGGAGGACGCCGAAGGUGGGGCUAAUGACUGGGGUGAAGUCGUAACAAGGUAGCCGUACCGGAAGGUGCGGCUGGAUCACCU